AUUGAACGCUGGCGGCAGGCUUAACACAUGCAAGUCGAGCGGGGGAAGGUAGCUUGCUACCGGACCUAGCGGCGGACGGGUGAGUAAUGCUUAGGAAUCUGCCUAUUAGUGGGGGACAACAUCUCGAAAGGGAUGCUAAUACCGCAUACGUCCUACGGGAGAAAGCGGGGGAUCUUCGGACCUUGCGCUAAUAGAUGAGCCUAAGUCGGAUUAGCUAGUUGGUGGGGUAAAGGCCUACCAAGGCGACGAUCUGUAGCGGGUCUGAGAGGAUGAUCCGCCACACUGGGACUGAGACACGGCCCAGACUCCUACGGGAGGCAGCGGUGGGGAAUAUUGGACAAUGGGGGGAAGCCUGAUCCAGCCAUGCCGCGUGUGUGAAGAAGGCCUUAUGGUUGUAAAGCACUUUAAGCGAGGAGGAGGCUACUCUAGUUAAUACCUAGGGAUAGUGGACGUUACUCGCAGAAUAAGCACCGGCUAACUCUGUGCCAGCAGCCGCGGUAA
rnacentral:rRNA from 1 species